GCCAACCUUGACCCCUGUUACAUGAUCUCUGCUCUUCUCUUCCCCUAUUUCAUGGCACUGUACCCAGAAGAGGCCCCAUGUGCUCAGCAAAGGUUCCCAUCUCUGUUUGUUGGUGAUUGCAGAACUGGGCUAAAGUCACACUUUCGAUGCAGAUGGCAGCUCAGAGGGACUCUCAGUUCUGGGGUACAGAGAGCAGGGCACUUUCCUGCCAACUCUUUACUUUCUGCAGGGCUGGAUACCUCUUCCCGCCCUGGGGCCAACUUCUUCCAUGUGUGCCUCACUGCCUGCCCCCAAGGACAGCACUCCUUGACCAGAGACUGCCUGCAGUGCCCCAUGGGCUUCUAGUAAGGAGCAGAUACCUGCAAUUCAAAGGAGAGAGGGAAGGGCAUGUGGAACCUUGGUUUAUUAAAGGGAAACCAAGCAGAUCCCCUUCAUGAUGGCCCCAAAUGUGAGUGGCUCCCAGGACAAUUGGUUAGUGCUGAGUGUCCUGGAGCCUGGUGGACUGAGCUGUCAGGGCCCACCCAGGAUACAGAGCUCAAUAGAGGGUUGGGCUAGAAGAAGCAAGCUUGAUCUGGCUCUGCCCCUCACCUGCCUUGUGCCUUGAACAAUUCGUCACCCAGGAUGUGAGGUGGUGUGGUCAAAGCUGCCUGGAUGGCAGGACAUGGCUGUGCCCUAUUGGAACCUGCAGGAGAUGCCUUGAACUUACAGACAACAGGGACAUCCAGAAGCGCCCAGAUGGACAGGAGUCACACCCAGAGAAGUCUAGCUGUGUCAUCUGUCCUCUGUGCUACUUCACAAACAGAAGCCACAGCUGCCAGCUCUGUACGACAGGUAGACAUGAAGUGGAGUACUCAGUUCCCCUGUCCAGAACACACCUACAGCUUGCAAGCAGGCAGCGGCUGGCUACAGGACUAUGCACCUUGCACCCCAGAAGCCUUUUGCCCUAGUGGACCCCCCAAGCCUGUGCCCUGCCCAUGGUAAGGAAGAUCAAGCCAGGGGUGUGACUGUGCUGUAAGUCAAGGUACCACUGU
ensembl:lincRNA